GAUGAACGCUGGCGGCGUGCCUAAUACAUGCAAGUCGAGCGAACAGACGAGGAGCUUGCUCCUCUGACGUUAGCGGCGGACGGGUGAGUAACACGUGGAUAACCUACCUAUAAGACCGGGAUAACUUCGGGAAACCGGAGCUAAUACCGGAUAAUAUAUUGAACCGCAUGGUUCAAUAGUUAGAGACGGUUUUGCUUUCACUUAUAGAUGGAUCCGCGCCGCAUUAGCUAGUUGGUAAGGUAACGGCUUACCAAGGCAACGAUGCGUAGCCGACCUGAGAGGGUGAUCGGCCACCCUGGAACUGAGACACGGCCCCGACUCCUACGGGAGGAAGCAGUAGGGAAUCUUCCGCAAUGGGCGAAAGCCUGACGGAGCAACGCCGCGUGAGUGCUGAAGGUCUUCGGCUCGUAAAACUAUGUUAUCCGGGAAGAACAAAUGUGCAAUCAACUAUGAACGUCUUGACGGUACCUACUCAGAAAGCCACGGCUAACUACGUG
rnacentral:rRNA from 1 species